GACGAACGCUGGCGGCGCGCUUAACACAUGCCAGUCGAACGGAAAGGCCUGCUUUCCCUUGUGGAUUGCGGGUACUCGAGUGGCGAACGGGUGAGUAACACGUGAGUGAUCUGCCCCCAACUUGGGUAUAAGCCUGGGAAACUGGGUCUAAUUCCCGAUAGGACUGCAGGGUGGUGCCUGUGGUGGAAAACGAUUUUCUAGUGGUUGGGGAUGAGCUCGCGGCCUAUCAGCUUGUUGGUGGGGUAAUGGCCUACCAAGGCGGCGACGGGUAGCCGGCCUGGGAGGGUGGACGGCCACAUUGGGACUGAGAUACGGCCCAGACUCCUACGGGAGGCAGCAGUGGGGAAUAUUGCACAAUGGGCGGAAGCCUGAUGCAGCGACGCCGCAUGGGGGAUGACGGGCUUCGGGUUGUAAACUCCUUUCGACCGCGAGGAAGCCACCUGGUUGGAAGGGUGGUGACGGUAGUGGUAGAAGAAGCACCGGCUAACUACGUG
rnacentral:rRNA from 1 species